GAUGAACGCUAGCGGCAGGCCUAAUACAUGCAAGUCGGACGGGAUCCAUUGAUAGCUUGCUAUCAAUGGUGAGAGUGGCGCACGGGUGCGUCACGCGUGAGCAACCUGCCUCCAUCAGGGGGAUAGCCUCUCGAAAGAGAGAUUAACACCGCAUAAUAUCAACAGUUCGCAUGUUCAGUUGAUUAAAUAUUUAUAGGAUGGAGAUGGGCUCGCGUGACAUUAGCUAGUUGGUAGGGUAACGGCUUACCAAGGCGACGAUGUCUAGGGGCUCUGAGAGGAGAAUCCCCCACACUGGGACUGGGACACGGACCAGACUCCUACGGGAGGCAGCAGUAAGGGAGAUUGGUGAAUGGGCGGAAGCCUGAACCAGCCAUGCCGCGUGCAGGAAGACUGCCCUAUGGGUUGUAAACUGCUUUUGGCCAGGAAUAAACCUAAGUACGAGUAUGUAGCUGAAGGUACUGGAAGAAUAAGGAUCGGCUAACUCCGUG
rnacentral:rRNA from 1 species